GCCAUAACUGACGCUCAUGGACGAAAGCCAGGGGAGCGAAAGGGAUUAGAUACCCCUGUAGUCCUGGCCGUAAACGAUGAACACUAGGUGUCGGGGGAAUCGACCCCCUCGGUGUCGUAGCCAACGCGUUAAGUGUUCCGCCUGGGGAGUACGCACGCAAGUGUGAAACUCAAAGGAAUUGACGGGGGCCCGCACAAGCGGUGGAGUAUGUGGUUUAAUUCGAUGCAACGCGAAGAACCUUACCAGGGUUUGACAUCCUGCGAAUCUCCUGGAAACGGGAGAGUGCCUUCGGGAACGCAGUGACAGGUGGUGCAUGGCUGUCGUCAGCUCGUGUCGUGAGAUGUUGGGUUAAGUCCCGCAACGAGCGCAACCCACGUCUUUAGUUGCCAGCAUUCAGUUGGGCACUCUAGAGAGACCGCCGGUGAUAAACCGGAGGAAGGUGUGGAUGACGUCAAGUCAUCAUGCCCCUUACAUCCUGGGCUACACACGUACUACAAUGCUACGGACAAAGGGCAGCAAACUCGCGAGAGCUAGCAAAUCCCAUAAACCGUGGCUCAGUUCAGAUCGUAGGCUGCAACUCGCCUACGUGAAGGAGGAAUCGCUAGUAAUCGCAGGUCAGCAUACUGCGGUGAAUACGUUCCCGGGCCUUGUACACACCGCCCGUCACACCAUGGAAGUUGGCCACGCCCGAAGCCGUUACUCCAACCCUUGUGGAGGAGGACGUCGAAGGUGGGGCUGAU
rnacentral:rRNA from 1 species